CGGGGUAUAAAAAUAAAGUUGUUAUUAUUAUUAUUAUUAUUAUUAUUAUUAUUAUUAUUAUUAUUAUUAUUAUAUGGGCCAUCCAAUCCAACCCCCUGCCAAGAAACAGGAAAUCGCAUUCAAAGCACCCCUGACAGAUGACCAUCCAGCCUCUGCCUAAAAGCCUCCAAAGAAGGAGCCUCCACCACAGUCCGGGGGAGAGGGUUCCACUGCUGAACAGCUCUCACAGUGAGGAAGUUCUUCCUAAUGUUCAGGUGGAAUCUCCUUUCCUGUAGUUUGAAGCCAUUGUUCCGUGUCCUAGUCUGCAGGGCAGCAGAAAACAAGCUUGCUCCCUCAUCCCUAUGACUUCCCCUCACAUAUUUAUACAUGGCUAUCAUGUCUCCUCUCAGCCUUCUCUUCUGCAGGCUAAACAUGCCCAGUUCUUUAAGCCACUCCUCAUAGGGCUUGUUCUCCAGACCCUUGAUCAUUUUAGUUGCUCUCCUCUGGACACAUUCCAGCUUGUCAACAUCUCCCUUCAACUGCGGUGCCCAGAAUUGGACACAGUAUUCCAGGUGUGGCCUGACCAAGGCAGAAUAGAGCGGGAGCAUGACUUCCCUGGAUCUAGACACUAUACUCCUAUUUAUGCAGGCCAGAAUCCCAUUGGCUUUUUUAGCAGCCGCAUCACAUUGUUGGCUCAUGUUUUAACUUGUUGUCCACAAGGACUCCAAGAUCUUUUUCACACGUACUGCUGUCGAGCCAGGCGUCCCCCAUUCUGUAUCUUUGCAUUCCAUUUUUUCUGCCGAAGUGAAGUAUCUUGCAUUUGUCCCUGUUGAACUUCAUUUUGUUAGUUUCAGCCCAUCUCUCUAAUCUGUCAAGAUCGUUUUGAAUUCUGCUCCUGUCUGUGUACACGAGCCCUUGACUGCUAAGGUUUAAGGGCCACAAUUUAUGAGGGGUCUCCGAACAAUAAUAAUAAAAAUACCUGAAAGUCUCAUUCUGUUAUAAUAGCACUUGUCUAAAGACAUGCUAUAGGGCCUCUUUAACUAGGCAUAAUUGUGAGCAUUCACAUGUAUGAAUCUGAAUCUGGCUCUGGGUGACCUCAAAAAUAUUAGUAGAGAAAUGUAGCAACAGACCUAGCCCUUAAAGGCAACCCUGAUUGAAGAGAUGUUGUGUGUAACCACACUACAACGGAUACUGACAAUACACUGAACCCUCUGGUCAAGGCAGUAUGCUGCAUGUCUGUUUUCUCCUUUGCGUUCAUAGCAUGCUGGCAGCAUUUUAGAGUGUGAGUAGGCAAAGCUGAC
rnacentral:lncRNA from 1 species